AGAGGAGAGUGGGAGGUCCCCUUCCUCCCUCACCGCUCCAUGUGCGUCCCUCCCGAAGCUGCACGCUCGGUCGAAGAGGACGACCUUCCCCGAUAGAGGCGUGUACCGUUCAUCGGUCAAGGGUAUACGGUAGCUGCGCUCCCCUGCUAGAACCUCCAAACAA
rnacentral:snRNA from 1 species